AGGCCAACGGAUAGGUUCUCGCGAGAGGACCCGUCAGCCCCAGCCGGGCGUCGUGCGAACAGCAGCUGGUACCAAAGGCGGAGGUGGAGCCCGAGCGGGAACCAGCGGGGAAACUGAGGCUCGGGGUGGCGAGCCGGACUGUGGGACGCGCUGAGGCUGCUGUCUUUCCCAGCAGCAGCGGAAGAUGUCGGACAGCGAGGACAGCAACUUUUCCGAGGAGGAGGACAGCGAGCGCAGCAGUGACGGCGAGGAGGCCGAGG